CUGCCGGGUUCUGGAGCCCUGGCUUGCUGAGGGCGCGGAGUCGUCGGGCCCGCCAGCUGUAGGCCCGCUGGGUCGCUGGUGUUCUAAAGACUGGUGUUACCCUCCCUUGCGCUCCCUGCUGCGCUGCACUGCUGGUGGAAUCUUAGUUCCCCACCCAGGGAUUGAACUUGGGCCAAGGCAGUGAAAGCGAGGAGUCCUAAUCAGUGGACUGCCAGUAGGUGGCAGGCUGAUGCAGAACGACAGUGCCCUGGGAAAUGACAGCAUUCAGCGUCUGGCUCAUUCUCUGGUCUGAGGGGCACGCAGGCUUUUCCAAGAUUCAGAACGCAAGCUGGAGAAAUUCAACCAUCUGUCACCUUAUGGACCUGUCACCCAGUUACCUUUUCCUCCUUAUUUCUUCUUUUAGACCUUCAAACACGAAAGACUAAGCAUCCUAUUCCAGUUUCAGGUGUAUGGAGGACCAACUUUUAAUAGAAAAUUCAAGAGGUUAUACAGAUAAACUCUUGGAACUAAAAAGAGUUCAGCAGGAAUGUGCAUAAGAAUUUCCUCUUCUGCUUUGAGUUGGAAAGAUUCUGGUGUUCUGUGUAGGAGUCUAUCUAAAUAGUUCUCAAAUAGAUGAUAAAUG